GGAAGUUUGAUCGUCAAGAGGCUCCAGUGAUUUUCCUUCCCACCUCUUUCCUCCCUGAGUUCUCUGCCUCGGCACUCCCUGUGGAUCCCAAUGAACUCAAAAAGCUCAGGCAGGCAUAGCAGCCAAACCUUGUCACUCUCAAGAGGCAGAAAAGCUCCUUCGUCAUCACUUGGAACAGGAACUACAAUGGUGGUGAAAACUGCAAGCAGUUCAGAAUUACACAGCACCAAACAGACACAAAACUGUUUUCUGUAAGGUAAGUCAUCUUUGUAGAACUCUGCAAGGAAAAAUGUAAAAUCAUAUAUGUUUCCAGCUAGAAGCUACACUCUGAGUUUUGGAAAUCGUGAGGUAUCCAUGGCUAUUCAGUGAGUCGUCUCUCCUUGAUCUGGCAUGCA
rnacentral:lncRNA from 1 species